rnacentral:rRNA from 21 species
CCUGCGUAGGGAUCAUUU